AUAAACAUUUAUCAUGAUAUAAGGAAAUAAAUAAUAACUUUAUUAUUGCCUCUAGGGCAUAUUUCCUUCAAUGGGACGGCGGGAGUAUAUGCUAAGUUGUGUACUGAUGUAUAGAUAUCUGAUUUUGUUCAUUUUGCAUUAGGUUGGGAGGACGUAGACUAAGAGCUAUAUAUGAUGAUUCUACAAAAGAUAAUGUACUAGAAGACAUGAGAACUUUUAGGAUGCUACAGUGUAAAAAUAUUUGGAAGAUGGUAUGGUUUGCCGGACCGGAACCAAAGGAAGAACGAGAAGGAGCUUAAGUAAGGCCAUGUCGGGGUGUCGCCACAAUAGGAAAUUGUCGCUGGUGCUAGAUACCAGGGGAACCAAAAAAAUCUUUUUUUCUACAAAGGUAACGAACUUUUUGGGUCUAGAGGGACCAAGAUGAGCAGGCCAUCAACAUCCUAUUCCUGCUUAUCUUUGUUUUCUUUGUAUCUGUAUUAUUAAUCUUGGUUUCAACUGGCGUGUUGAGUGCAAUCUUCCGGGUGCAAUCCUCAAAUAUGGGAUGUCGUACUAGCCUUAAUUCAACAUCUGGAUUGGCUUAUGAUGGCAUGGAGUUCCAUCAUUUCGGCUGCUUGCGGCGGGGAGUGUGGCCGGUGCUUGCGGCAGCAGCGAAGCGGCGUGCGCGAGCGCAGUGUAGGCAGUGGCCAAAGGCUCAUCGGCCGCUGCGAGUACGCCGUUGGCACCAGGGUGGAAGAGCUUUUGAAUUUAGAUGGUAGUCGGAGGAGUGGGCCAGGUACUUAGCAAAAGGUUUAGCUGCUUUUUUAGAACAGAGAUGGAGCAUGGGUUACCUACAAGAUCCAACACAGAACGUGAAGUAGUGUGAUUAAGUCCAAGAAGGGGAAAAUGCUAGAGACGGACCAGCCAAAGGGUGAAUAUCUUGUGCUCUACAUACUUACCAAUGGCCGCAGUUAACAAUUUGGGCCUAAUAUUGGACAUGAACUUAAACAAUUUACAGUGUUUUUUAAGGCUGAUUGUUGCUAUGAAGAAUGGAAUGGCCAUGCUAUUGAUAGAGAACACUCUCGGAAGUUGGAUCUCUCUUUUUGUGCUAUUAUUGCUGAAAUUAAGAGGCUCAUUACAAGGAAUUGUCAGAUUUUGUGUACCUUGUAAUAGUGACACGCAUGGAGGUGUGAAUUGAGUGAUAUUGAUACUAUUUAGUAAUGGAUGGUAUAUGUUCUUUGGUGGCGAGCGAUUUUCUGGUUUAGGAUACACCAAGACCGCCAAGAAAGAAAGAAGCCGGAGAGAGUUUGAAUUUGUCGCUAUUUGAUGAAACCAGAUGCCAUCAUGCUUAACAAUGUAUUUCUGAAUUAAAAUAACAAUUUGAUAAAUGUGUAUAUUUCUAUUAUUUCAUGGCAAUGCAUGGUCAUCUGGUGUUUGCCCGUAGCAACGCACGGGCAUUCUAUCACCGUCUACCAUUUUGCCCACAAGAAAAAUAUAAUUAUGUACUUGUUUUCUAUUUAUUGCAGAUAAUAUGCUUGGACUCACAAGUGCAUCUAAUGCUUCCAUAUGGAGGUUUUCAACAUCACAAAUUUCAUACUAAUGGAGUGGAGCUACCAAAAUAUCUAUUGAGGUAAAAUCACUAUAUACAUAUUGUUUUCCCCCAUUGCGUCAGGCGACACGCAUCUGUUGCAAAGAAAUAGGCAUCACCUGCGUGCUUGCUUUUGUUCGUUUCUAGCCGGCAAGAAUCCAUCGAGUCUUCCUCUAUGUGUGCAACCUUGCCAGCAUGGGAAUCAAUCAAGGUAGGGGCAGCCAACGUUAAGUAUGUGCAGUCUUGCCGGGAUCCAAUCUAUUAACUCCUUCACCCAGCUCUGCACUAUGUGCACGACAUCCAUGCUCGAAAGCACUUUGCAAGUGGACCAUGCACGGCUCCACCGGCCUUGCGUCAACAAUUCAAAUCCUUAUCUUAUACUUCCUCUGUCUGAAAAAGCUUGUCCCAAGCUUGUCCCUUAAAUGGAUGUAUCUAGCACUAACUUGGUGCUAGAUACAUCCAUUUGAGGGACAAGUUUUUUCGGACGGAGGGAGUACUACUAGAUAGACACAUACUUUUUUAUGCAAUUCUUAAUUUAUAGAAGCAGAAGAACUGAUUAUGUGAAUUGAAUAUAUAAUCCCAUGUGUUGGUGCUAUCCAAUUGUUGUGAUUAUUUAUCACACAUAACUUGCAGGGACAUAACUCUAUAGUAUGAAGACUUUAAAAUACGAGUCCGAGGAGACUUGAUCUUCGAAGGGUUCGCGACCCUGACCACUGCUCUGGCCCUAGAUCCGGAGCAAACUACCAGGUCCAAAGAUGGGAGUUUAGAGCCCGCCGGACUCUCUGCAAUUACAGAGCUCGCAACCGAAGAUCUGGAGGGGACUAUGUUACCGGCAAACACGGAGUCAAGCCAGGUUCCCCCUGUCAUCGGAAAGCCGGACUCGCCCCUGGAUACCAGCUCCGUAUUCUCGAGGUCCACGUCACGUAAGCUUGGCCAGGAGACUCCUAUCCGGCCUAGCUCCACGGACUCUCGUUUCCCCGUCCAAACCUCGCUCUUAAACGAGGCCCUGGAUGUAAUACAAUCCCUCGCCAUUACAGAGGAAUCACUUCCGAACUACGCACAGCCCGGACUAGGGGCUGAGAGCGGGGAAUUUUACGUCCCACCCACCACCCACUUCAUAGCCACUGCCGAGGACUUAACCGACAUGCUGGACUACACCUCUGAAGACAUCGACAACAUGCACGACGAUGCCAAAGACGAACAAGGCCAAGACCCGCUGUUUACCGAACGUUGGACGGCCAGCUCCACAUAUGACGUGUAUAUGGUGGACACACCCAAAGAAGAUGAUGGCAACGACAGGAAGGAUCCGGUCGAGGAAGAACCUGUUGAGGAACCACAAAAGCAUCAACGUCAGCGACGCCGUUCAAAAGCGCGUCGCGAAAAAAACAGUAAUACAAGCACCGGAGACAAUAAUACUCCGGAGAAUGCCGAAGACCCUGAAGCCCCCGUCGAACCAACAUCCGAACUUGAUGAUUGGGAGGAGGGGCAAGUUAACCGUGAUGAUCCGGUCAGGAACGAGGACUCGGAGGAUAGAAACUAUCUACCACCCUCCCAGGAUGACGUGAGCCUCGGCGAC